rnacentral:rRNA from 1 species
UACGUAGGGUGCGAGCGUUGUCCGGAAUCAUUGGGCGUAAAGGGCGCGUAGGUGGCUUCUUAAGCGUGCGGUGAAAGCCUGGGGCUCAACCCCGGGUCGGCCGUGCGAACUGGGGGGCUGGAGCACUGUAGAGGCAGGCGGAAUUCCGGGUGUAGCGGUGGAAUGCGUAGAGAUCCGGAAGAACACCGGUGGCGAAGGCGGCCUGCUGGGCAGUUGCUGACACUGAGGCACGAAGGCCAGGGGAGCAAACGGG